AUUGAACGCUGGCGGCAUGCCUUACACAUGCAAGUCGAACGGCAGCACGGGAGCAAUCCUGGUGGCGAGUGGCGAACGGGUGAGUAAUAUAUCGGAACGUGCCCAGUCGUGGGGGAUAACGUAGCGAAAGCUACGCUAAUACCGCAUACGAUCUAUGGAUGAAAGCGGGGGAUCGCAAGACCUCGCGCGAUUGGAGCGGCCGAUAUCAGAUUAGGUAGUCGGUGGGGUAAAGGCUCACCAAGCCGACGAUCUGUAGCUGGUCUGAGAGGACGACCAGCCACACUGGGACUGAGACACGGCCCAGACCCCUACGGGAGGCAGCAGUGGGGAAUUUUGGACAAGGGGCGCAAGCCUGAUCCAGCAAUGCCGCGUGCAGGAUGAAGGCCUUCGGGUUGUAAACUGCUUUUGUACGGAGCGAAAAGGCUUCCACUAAUACUGGGGGCUCAUGACGGUACCGUAAGAAUAAGCACCGGCUAACUACGUGCCAGCCGCCGCAGUAAAAC
rnacentral:rRNA from 1 species